rnacentral:rRNA from 1 species
UACGGAGGGAGCUAGCGUUGUUCGGAAUUACUGGGCGUAAAGCGCACGUAGGCGGCUUUGUAAGUUAGAGGUGAAAGCCUGGAGCUCAACUCCAGAAUAGCCUUUAAGACUGCAUCGCUUGAAUCCAGGAGAGGUGAGUGGAAUUCCGAGUGUAGAGGUGAAAUUCGUAGAUAUUCGGAAGAACACCAGUGGCGAAGGCGGCUCACUGGACUGGUAUUGACGCUGAGGUGGCG